CCUACGGGUGGCAGCAGUGGGGAAUAUUGGGCAAUGGGCGCAAGCCUGACCCAGCAACGCCGCGUGAAGGAAGAAGGCUUUCGGGUUGUAAACUUCUUUUAUCAGGGACGAAGCAAGUGACGGUACCUGAUGAAUAAGCCACGGCUAACUACGUGCCAGCAGCCGCGGUAAUACGUAGGUGGCAAGCGUUAUCCGGAUUUAUUGGGUUUAAAGGGAGCGUAGAUGGGUUGUUAAGUCAGUUGUGAAAGUUCGCGGCUCAACCGCGGAACUGCAUUUGAAACUGUUUUUCUUGAGUACCGGAGAGGUCAUCGGAAUUCCUUGUGUAGCGGUGAAAUGCGUAGAUAUAAGGAAGAACACCAGUGGCGAAGGUGGAUGACUGGACGGCAACUGACGGUGAGGCGCGAAAGCGUGGGGAGCAAACAGGAUUAGAUACCCCAGUAGUC
rnacentral:rRNA from 1 species